rnacentral:tRNA from 1 species
GAGGGCGACAGCUCAGUGGUAGAGCGUGUGCUUAGCAGGCACGAGUUCCUGGGUUCAAUCCCCAGCACCUCCA